rnacentral:misc_RNA from 1 species
CAAACGCAAACAACUCGGCUUCACAAUUUAUUAAAUUCACACAGAAACAAACAAUUGAUAACAAGACUAGAAAAAAAAAGUCUGCAACUUUUUCAACCAUGGAGUUAGUAGUACUGCAAUACUGUACAAAAAAGCUAGGAAACGAAGCGAAUGAGCGCGAAUACAGAAGAAGAUAGGAAGAAAUAAGGAAAGUUUAUGCCCCUAUGGGAGCUUUUCGACUGCAGAAACUCACUCAAAUUAGUAAUUGAAAAUGCAUAGCAAGACAAUAUCUCACAGGCCACAUAUAGGCCAUAAUAACAUGUAGUAUGUCUUAUUUAAAGAGACGAACAUUAGAACACUGUAAAGCCAGCUGAAGUCUUCGAUACUGUACCUAGUUUACUUCCACUUCUUGAAUUUACCUCCGAACAUCCCUCCCUUGCCAUGCUUAAACUUGCCGUGCUUUCCAUGUUUGAAUUUCCCUCCCUUGCCAUGCUUAAACUUGCCGUGCUUUCCAUGUUUGAAUU